rnacentral:ncRNA from 1 species
AUGACGGUGCCAACGAGUCUGUCCUUUUGGUUCGAAAGGGUUGGGCAAACUGGUCAAUCACCGCCAUGACAGGGAUCGAAGCUUGGAAUUGUUCGCCGUGAAC